rnacentral:lncRNA from 1 species
ACAGUGCAUCCAGAGCAUGACCCGGCUAGUAGUGAAGGAACGGAAUCGCAAGUAUGACCAGAAGCCAGGACAAAGCUGGCCAGGGGAAUCCCAAGUCCUCCCCUUAUUACUCUGCAGGCCCCAGGCUUCACUCAAGUUGGUGCUGGGGUCCCCCCAACCUUACUACCCUCCUUUCCCCCUCUCUUCAGCAAGCUGACAAGAGAGAGUGGUACUGACUUCCCUAUCCCUGCUGUCCCACCAGGGACAGAUCCAGAAACUGAGAAGCUCAUCCGGGAGAAAGAUGAAGAGCUGCGGCGGAUGCAGGAGAUGCUACACAAAAUCCAAAGACAGAUGAAGGAGACUCACUAACUGGCUUUUGGACCUGAAUAUUUAAAUCUCUUCUACCAGCCCACGCCGGCCUCUCUCCCUGCAUCAGCUCUGCUCAGGCCCCCUGCAGCUCCUACCAGUUCGCCUUAUAUCCCUGCUGACUUCUCAGAGACUCAGAGGAAAUAAACUAACCUAUAUGUGGCUCCA